UAUGCCAUGGUGGACUCAAAGAGGUUAAGGUGUUCAAUUGGGUCCUUCAUUCCAGUAUAGAGUUGUAAACCAAGCUUUUGUUUUGUCUUCGCUUGAAGGGGGGUGUCGAAGAUCCUUCUUGUGAGAGGGCCAGGCCUGGGUUGGUUCCAGUCAGGUAUCUCGGCCUGAUGUUCGGCCUUCAACUUGUUUACUUCCUCAAAGAGCUGUAAGACAAGGGGGUCCUGAGUGGAGUCAUGUACCAUUGGAAUUUUCUUUCAUAAGUCUCCAUCACCUCUUGGAAGUAGGAAAGUUUGAGCAAGGGCGUGUGGUUUUUUCUUGGACUCGCCGUACUGACUUCUAGGGUGAGUCUGUCGGAAUACCUCAGAGUCCCCC
rnacentral:lncRNA from 1 species